GGGCGUAUAGCUCAGCUGGUUUAGAGCGCACGCCUGAUAAGCGUGAGGUCGAUGGUUCGAGUCCAUUUAUGCUCA
rnacentral:tRNA from 1 species